CUUAUUUAAACAAUAAAUACUUGCAAACUGAACAAAACAAGCUUCCCACACAGAGCCGUGUAACGUGACUGCUUUACACAGUGAGUGGGGACACAGCCUGCACAGCAUCGCUCAUUACAAAGUGCAGUCCCAUGGGGCGUUCACGUGUUCCUGUCCCUGGGCCCACCUUCCCGGAAGUCAGAGGCUCCAGGGGUUCCUAGAGGCGUGAGUGUUUGGGAUGGGGACCCCGUGCUCAGAACCCCUCGGGCAGGAGUCAGUUACUCCUGAGUCAGGCCCAGCUGUAUGGAGCGAUGCUGCGGACUCUUCAUUGACACAGUUGCAGAGAAGAUUCAGGAUAUAAAUUUGAAGAAGGAUUAACCAUUCCCAGAACAAAUAGCCCUCGCCCGCUCUCCUCUUCGCACACAAACCCCACUGCGUAUCCAAGUGCAAACAGAUGGGAAGGCUGAGGCCCAGCCGGGUGGAGUGCCCCAUCCGAGCUCCCACAGCAGACCUUCCCAAGGACAAGAGGACACGGAGCCAGCAUUGGCAGCCACGAGGUGGAAACGAAACAGAGUGGAUCGCAUGUCAUCUAGAACUUGAGAGCGAGACACGUACUGCCAAAUCCCGAGCAGCGACUGGAUGUCAAACAUCUCAUUCAAGGAACAUCGAUUGGGCAUCUGCUGGAUGCACAGCCUCUUUCUUGGAGCUUCCAGGCUGGCUGGUCCCAAGCAUAGGCUUUGGUGGAAGAUAGAUAGGCCGUUCUGGAGUCACCGUGGCAGAGCUUUCUCCGCACCGUUUCGGCCCCUCCCCCAGGCUGAUCGCCUUCCCAGAAUGGAGAUGUCACUCAGCACAGCCUGAUCUCAAGAAGCCGAACCCACCACUUAACAGAGAUGCAAAUCCCUGAGCCCAGGGACUGAGCUUGGCGGAGGUCUGGCACAUGCCAGGACACCGGCUCCUGAUCGUGGCAAAGGGAAAUGAAGUUGCUGCCCCUGAGCUAAUUAAGGAGGCAGGGAGGCCGGCGGCUGGGAGUUGGCGAGCAGAGUGGUGGCAGUUGCCAAGUGUCCAACACGCUGCCCACGUGCCAGGUCCGGGGGGCGGCGGUGGGAGGUGGGGGAACGGGAAUCCUCCUUGAGCAAAACCAGCUGUUUCGAGGUCAACUCCCCUCCCCCUGCCUGCGUCUGUCAAUUCAGCAGACGAGGUGUCUGUCCCCAUAGCUGGCACUUCCCAGGGACUUCCCGGAGGAAGGGGACCGAGGCCCCCUGCUAGAAGCUCCUGGCACAUGAGAACAGCCUCCAGAGCCGUCCUGUCCAGUAUGGAAAUCUCUGGCCACAUGUAGCUAUUUAAACUAAAAUCUGCUGCAAUGAGGUAAAACGUAAGAUUCGGUUCCCGUUUUGCUGUAGCCACAUAUCCAGCGCUGGAGAGCCGUGGGAGGCCGGUGGCCACUGCACUGGGCAGUGCAGGUACAGGACCUUUCCGUUGUCGCAGAAUAUUCUGUUGGCUAAUCUUCAGCAACGGGCCCACCUCAUGCCUGCAGCGAUCAUCCUAACAAUUGCUUUCACUGCAGCCUAAAUCCACGUACGUUACUCUUAUGGAAACUUAGGAGAAGAAGCGAACGUGCACCCUGCCCUGAGACCGCCAAUCAACUGAGGCGCAUUUAUUGAGCCCCCGCUAUGUAUACGUCAGGCGCUGUCCAGAGCCCUGGGGUUGCUGAGCUGAGGGAGGCCGUCCCCCACUCUCAGAGGGCAGGGAGCACUGAUGUGCACAGCGAUAAUGUCGCCGUCGCUUCUGUGGGACAAGGGCUGUCCUGGAGGCAAGUGUGGAAAUCUAAGGGGGCUGAGCUGUUUGGCCAAACCUGGGGUUCAGAGUCAGACCGUGAGGUGUUGCAAGGCUCUGCUCUGUUUGCUGGCACGUUACUGAGAAGAUCACCACGGAGGCUGUGUAAGGCUGUGACACAGCGUGUGCUGCAGAAAGACCCACCUUGAACUCCCCAUUUAAAGUUUUCCUCUCCCGGGGCUUCCCUGGUGGCGCAGUGGUUAAAAAUCCGCCCGCCAAUGCAGGGGACACGGGUUCGAGCCCUGGUCCGGGAAGGUCCCACAUGCCA